rnacentral:rRNA from 1 species
AGUGAACGCUGGCGGUAGGCCUAACACAUGCAAGUCGAACGGCAGCACAGUAAGAGCUUGCUCUUACGGGUGGCGAGUGGCGGACGGGUGAGGAAUACAUCGGAAUCUACUUUUUCGUGGGGGAUAACGUAGGGAAACUUACGCUAAUACCGCAUACGACCUACGGGUGAAAGCAGGGGAUCUUCGGACCUUGCGCGAUUGAAUGAGCCGAUGUCGGAUUAGCUAGUUGGCGGGGUAAAGGCCCACCAAGGCGACGAUCCGUAGCUGGUCUGAGAGGAUGAUCAGCCACACUGGAACUGAGACACGGUCCAGACUCCUACGGGAGGCAGCAGUGGGGAAUAUUGGACAAUGGGCGCAAGCCUGAUCCAGCCAUACCGCGUGGGUGAAGAAGGCCUUCGGGUUGUACAGCCCUUUUGUCGGGAAAGAAAAGCAGCAGGUUAAUACCCCGCUGUUCUGACGGUACCCAAAGAAUAAGCACCGGCUAACUUCGUG